GGAUUAGGCAUGCAAGUCGCACGAAGUAGUAGGUUCACCUGCUGCUGAGUGGCGAAAGGGUUAGUAAUACAUGAAUAACCUGCCUCUUACUUUGGAAUAACGAUUGGAAACGAUCGCUAAUACCGAAUGAGGUGCUCGAAGGGAUCUUUGAGUAUCAAAGCGGGGGACCGGGGAAACCUGGCCUCGUGGUAAGAGAGGGGUUCAUGGGAUAUCAGCUAGUUGGUGUGGUAAAGGCGCACCAAGGCUAAGACGUCUAGGCGGAUUGAGAGAUUGAUCGCCAACAUUGGGACUGAGACACUGCCCAAACUCCUACGGGAGGCUGCAGUCGAGAAUCUUUCGCAAUGGACGAAAGUCUGACGAAGCGACGCCGUGUGAACGAAGAAGGCCUUCGGGUUGUAAAGUUCUUUCGCCAGGGAACAAGAGAAGCAGGAUAAUACCCCGCAAAUUUGAGGGUACCUGGUAAAGAAGCACCGGCUAACUCCGUGCCAGCAGCUGCGGUAAUACGGGGGGUGCAAGCAUUAAUCGGAAUUAUUGGGCGUAAAGGGCGCGUAGGCGGAAUUGUAAGUCAGAUGUGAAAUAUCGAGGCUCAACCUCGAUGCUGCAUUUGAAACUACAAAUCUUGAGGGUAGACGGAGAAAACGGAAUUCCACGUGUAGCGGUGAAAUGCGUGGAUAUGUGGAAGAACACCUGUGGCGAAAGCGGUUUUCUAGUUUAUACCUGACGCUGAGGCGCGAGAGCAAGGGGAGCAAACAGGAUUAGAUACCCUGGUAGUCCUUGCCGUAAACGAUGUAUACUUGAUGUAGUUGGACUCAACCCCGACUGUGUCGUAGCUAACGCGAUAAGUAUACCGCCUGAGGAGUACGCUCGCAAGGGUGAAACUCAAAAGAAUUGA
rnacentral:rRNA from 1 species